rnacentral:rRNA from 1 species
GUCGUACGCUUCUUUUUCCACCGGAGCUUGCUCCACCGGAAAAAGAAGAGUGGCGAACGGGUGAGUAACACGUGGGUAACCUGCCCAUCAGAAGGGGAUAACACUUGGAAACAGGUGCUAAUACCGUAUAACAAUCGAAACCGCAUGGUUUUGAUUUGAAAGGCGCUUUCGGGUGUCGCUGAUGGAUGGACCCGCGGUGCAUUAGCUAGUUGGUGAGGUAACGGCUCACCAAGGCCACGAUGCAUAGCCGACCUGAGAGGGUGAUCGGCCACAUUGGGACUGAGACACGGCCCAAACUCCUACGGGAGGCAGCAGUAGGGAAUCUUCGGCAAUGGACGAAAGUCUGACCGAGCAACGCCGCGUGAGUGAAGAAGGUUUUCGGAUCGUAAAACUCUGUUGUUAGAGAAGAACAAGGAUGAGAGUAACUGUUCAUCCCUUGACGGUAUCUAACCAGAAAGCCACGGCUAACUACGUGCCAGCAGCCGCGGUAAUACGUAGGUGGCAAGCGUUGUCCGGAUUUAUUGGGCGUAAAGCGAGCGCAGGCGGUUUCUUAAGUCUGAUGUGAAAGCCCCCGGCUCAACCGGGGAGGGUCAUUGGAAACUGGGAGACUUGAGUGCAGAAGAGGAGAGUGGAAUUCCAUGUGUAGCGGUGAAAUGCGUAGAUAUAUGGAGGAACACCAGUGGCGAAGGCGGCUCUCUGGUCUGUAACUGACGCUGAGGCUCGAAAGCGUGGGGAGCAAACAGGAUUAGAUACCCUGGUAGUCCACGCCGUAAACGAUGAGUGCUAAGUGUUGGAGGGUUUCCGCCCUUCAGUGCUGCAGCUAACGCAUUAAGCACUCCGCCUGGGGAGUACGACCGCAAGGUUGAAACUCAAAGGAAUUGACGGGGGCCCGCACAAGCGGUGGAGCAUGUGGUUUAAUUCGAAGCAACGCGAAGAACCUUACCAGGUCUUGACAUCCUUUGACCACUCUAGAGAUAGAGCUUCCCCUUCGGGGGCAAAGUGACAGGUGGUGCAUGGUUGUCGUCAGCUCGUGUCGUGAGAUGUUGGGUUAAGUCCCGCAACGAGCGCAACCCUUAUUGUUAGUUGCCAUCAUUUAGUUGGGCACUCUAGCAAGACUGCCGGUGACAAACCGGAGGAAGGUGGGGAUGACGUCAAAUCAUCAUGCCCCUUAUGACCUGGGCUACACACGUGCUACAAUGGGAAGUACAACGAGUCGCGAAGUCGCGAGGCUAAGCUAAUCUCUUAAAGCUUCUCUCAGUUCGGAUUGUAGGCUGCAACUCGCCUACAUGAAGCCGGAAUCGCUAGUAAUCGCGGAUCAGCACGCCGCGGUGAAUACGUUCCCGGGCCUUGUACACACCGCCCGUCACACCACGAGAGUUUGUAACACCCGAAGUCGGUGAGGUAACCUUUUGGAGCCAGCCGCCUAAGGUGGGAUAGAUGA